GUUCAUCCUGGUAAAGCGCUUAUCAUGGUAUUUGAGGCAGGGCUCAGUGAAAGCCAACCAUGACCUCAAAGGCAGGAUGAGUAUAGUGACCUGGGAACCGCAGAGAGGGUGGCCUCUAGUGGCUGGCCCAAGGGCUCUGUCCUCAGCUGGCAGAAGGAAGUUGGAUGACGAUUUGGAGGAGGGAGUGCCACCUGCAGAAGGGCUGCACUAUGGGGGUGGAAGGAGCCAGUAGCCGAAAAUAAUUACCACCACCACUGGAGUGAAGACAAUGAUGGCUGAGCCUUCUAAUAAAAGACCCCGCGGCCCGAUGGGGAGCUGGAGCUAUCUCUACCGGCCACCUUGGCUGACAGCUCCCGGCUCAAGUGCUUCCUUUCCCCAGUUGAGUGUUUUUCUUUCCUUUUCCCUGUUUGAACACUUUCCUUCCAUUUCCCUUUCUGAGCAAUAAAUCAGCUGUUCACUAG